rnacentral:rRNA from 1 species
UACGAGAGGUGCGAGCGUUAUUCGGAAUUAUUGGGCGUAAAGGGUGCGCAGACGGUUUGUUAAGUCAAUUGUUUAAUUCCUCGGCCUAACUGAGGUUCAGCAGUAGAAACUGAUAAACUAGAGUAUGAGAGAGAGGAGUGGAAUUCUCGGAGUAGCGGUAAAAUGCGUAGAUCUCGAGAGGAACACCGAUGGCGAAGGCAGCUCCUUGGCUCAUUACUGACGUUCAUGCACGAAAGCGUGGGGAGCAAACAGG